rnacentral:rRNA from 1 species
UCCGUAGGCGGUGCGGCAAGUCGGUAGUGAAAUCUCAGGGCUUAACCCUGAGGCUGCUUCCGAAACUGCCGUGCUCGAGUGCGAGAGAGGCGAGUGGAAUUGCAGGUGUAGCGGUGAAAUGCGUAGAUAUCUGCAGGAACAUCCGAGGCGAAAGCGGCUCGCUGGAUCGCAACUGACGCUGAGGGACGAAAGCUAGGGGAGCAAACAGGAUUAGAUACCCUGGUAGUCCUAGCCCUAAACGAUCAGGACUGGGCGUGGGCCUCGUACGGGGCUCGUGCCGCAGCUAACGCGUUAAGUCCUGCGCCUGGGGAGUACGGUCGCAAGGCUGAA